rnacentral:piRNA from 1 species
UGCUUGACUUGUCAUCCAGUACUACUUUUGC